rnacentral:rRNA from 1 species
GACGAACGCUGGCGGCGUGCUUAACACAUGCAAGUCGAACGGAAAGGCCCUGCUUGCAGGGUACUCGAGUGGCGAACGGGUGAGUAACACGUGGGUGAUCUGCCCUGCACUUCGGGAUAAGCCUGGGAAACUGGGUCUAAUACCGGAUAGGAGCCAUUUUUAGUGUGAUGGUUGGAAAGUUUUUUCGGUGUAGGAUGAGCUCGCGGCCUAUCAGCUUGUUGGUGGGGUAAUGGCCUACCAAGGCGGCGACGGGUAGCCGGCCUGAGAGGGUGGACGGCCACAUUGGGACUGAGAUACGGCCCAGACGCCUACGGGAGGCAGCAGUGGGGAAUAUUGCACAAUGGGCGCAAGCCUGAUGCAGCGACGCCGCGUGGGGGAUGACGGCCUUCGGGUUGUAAACUCCUUUCGCUAGGGACGAAGCUUUUUGUGACGGUACCUAGAGAAGAAGCACCGGCUAACUACGUG